rnacentral:rRNA from 1 species
AAAUACAUGCAAGUCGAGCGAACAGAUGAGGAGCUUGCUCCUUUGACGUUAGCGGCGGACGGGUGAGUAACACGUGGGUAACCUACCUAUAAGACUGGAAUAACUCCGGGAAACCGGGGCUAAUGCCGGAUAACAUGUUGAACCGCAUGGUUCAACAGUGAAAGACGGUCUUGCUGUCACUUAUAGAUGGACCCGCGCCGUAUUAGCUAGUUGGUAAGGUAACGGCUUACCAAGGCGACGAUACGUAGCCGACCUGAGAGGGUGAUCGGCCACACUGGAACUGAGACACGGUCCAGACUCCUACGGGAGGCAGCAGUAGGGAAUCUUCCGCAAUGGGCGAAAGCCUGACGGAGCAACGCCGCGUGAGUGAUGAAGGUCUUCGGAUCGUAAAGCUCUGUUGUUAGGGAAGAACAUAUGUGUAAGUAACUGUGCACAUCUUGACGGUACCUAACCAGAAAGCCACGGCUAACUACGUGCCAGCAGCCGCGGUAAUACGUAGGUGGCAAGCGUUAUCCGGAAUUAUUGGGCGUAAAGCGCGCGUAGGCGGUUUUUUAAGUCUGAUGUGAAAGCCCACGGCUCAACCGUGGAGGGUCAUUGGAAACUGGAAAACUUGAGUGCAGAAGAGGAAAGUGGAAUUCCAUGUGUAGCGGUGAAAUGCGCAGAGAUAUGGAGGAACACCAGUGGCGAAGGCGGCUUUCUGGUCUGUAACUGACGCUGAGGUGCGAAAGCGUGGGGAUCAAACAGGAUUAGAUACCCUGGUAGUCCACGCCGUAAACGAUGAGUGCUAAGUGUUAGGGGGUUUCCGCCCCUUAGUGCUGCAGCUAACGCAUUAAGCACUCCGCCUGGGGAGUACGGUCGCAAGACUGAAACUCAAAGGAAUUGACGGGGACCCGCACAAGCGGUGGAGCAUGUGGUUUAAUUCGAAGCAACGCGAAGAACCUUACCAAAUCUUGACAUCUUUUGAUCGCUCUAGAGAUAGAGUUUUCCUCUUCGGAGGACAAAAUGACAGGUGGUGCAUGGUUGUCGUCAGCUCGUGUCGUGAGAUGUUGGGUUAAGUCCCGCAACGAGCGCAACCCUUAAGCUUAGUUGCCAUCAUUAAGUUGGGCACUCUAAGUUGACUGCCGGUGACAAACCGGAAGAAAGGUGGGGAUGACGUCAAAUCAUCAUGCCCCUUAUGAUUUGGGCUACACACGUGCUACAAUGGACAAUACAAAGGGCAGCAAAACCGCGAGGUCAAGCAAAUCCCAUAAAGUUGUUCUCAGUUCGGAUUGUAGUCUGCAACUCGACUACAUGAAGCUGGAAUCGCUAGUAAUCGUAGAUCAGCAUGCUACGGUGAAUACGUUCCCGGGUCUUGUACACACCGCCCGUCACACCACGAGAGUUUGUAACACCCGAAGCCGGUGGAGUAACCAUUUGGAGCUAGCCGUUAGCUAU